rnacentral:misc_RNA from 1 species
GUUCCGUAGGUGAACCUGCGGAAGGAUCAUUAUUGUAAAGCCGGGGUGCGAGGGCUGUCGCUGACCCGAAAGAUCGUGCACGCCCGAGUGCCGUCACACACGCCCAUCUCAGCCCUAUGUGCACCACCGCGUGGGUCCCGCUUUGGAGUGAUCGGAGGGGGGCUUACGUUUUCACACAAACUUUGUAUGCAGUGUAGAAUGUAUUUUUUGUUUUUGCGAUCGUGCAAUAAAUAUAACUUUCAACAACGGAUCUCUUGGCUCUG